ACCCAUCGUGGAGAAGGUCACCGCCGCCGGCGCCAAGGUCGUCUGGCAGUGCGAUCCCAUGCACGGCAACACGUUCGAGUCGUCCAACGGGUAC
rnacentral:tRNA from 1 species